rfam:Lactobacillus buchneri CD034, complete genome.
AAAUGAAAUCACAAAAAGGAAGUCCUGAUUCAACAGGACUUCCUAUUGUGGAACCGUUUAAGACGGCAGCGCAUUUUUAGUUAUUAAAUA